UGGGUUGUGGCUCAGUGGUAGAGUGCUGGCCUAGCAUGUAUGAGGUCCUGGGUUUGAUUCUCAGCACUGCAA
rnacentral:tRNA from 1 species